GUUAUUCCUUUGAAACUGCGAUACUUGGUCCAAGGGAGCAGUGCCCCUGCAGCUCUGUGUGCCUCAGUUCCCACGGGCAGUCCAUUCUGUUCUGCAGGACCCAGAGCAUUGGGGUGACCCGGCUUCCCUGUCACCCUACGGACACUGCCACACCGGGGCAGGGAUGGUGCCUGGCAAGGCCACCUUGGAUGGAGCAGUGGCUUUGAGACCCUCCCAAGGCUUUAUGCCCCAAAAACGCUGCCUGCCUGCCUGUGAGGAGCAGAGAGAGACAUCCCGGGGGAAACCGAGCUCUGGUGUCAGACUGGUCUGGUCCCACAACGCAGUGCGUGCUUCUCCUCUCCAGCUGACAGCCUGGGACAGCCCCGACAUCAGCUGCUGGUGGAGCUCUCUGUGCAGAAAGCCAGUCCUGAACGUGUGGCCUUUGCUCCCCCCAGCUGUCAUAUCCUCCAGGAUCUGCAACAAGUCCUGA
rnacentral:lncRNA from 1 species